AAGCCUAGUUACUUUCAAUCUUGCCACUAGAAUGACACCAAGAACAUAACCUAGGAUUUGAUUUUGGCUCCAACACAUGGAAAAACCAAACCAUAGGGCAUGCUAGCAACACUUGCUAAAAAUCUCACCACCCUUCUUGCAACUUUUGCCACUCAAAUUUUCCUUACCUUUUUCUCAAAUUUUUUCCAAAAUUCUUCCUAUGAUUACCACAUCUCUCUCUCUAGUUUC
rnacentral:lncRNA from 1 species